rnacentral:rRNA from 1 species
GACGAACGCUGGCGGCGUGCUUAACACAUGCAAGUCGAACGGUGAAGCGCCUUCCUUUUUGGUGGGUGUGGAUGAGUGGCGAACGGGUGGGUAACACGUGAGUAACCUGCCCCCUUCUUCUGGAUAACCGCAUGAAAGUGUGGCUAAUACGGGAUAUUCUGGGUCUGUCGCAUGAUGGGUCUGGGAAAGAUAUUGUUUCGGUGGGGGAUGGGCUCGCGGCCUAUCAGCUUGUUGGUGGGGUGAUGGCCUACCAAGGCGGUGACGGGUAGCCGGCCUGAGAGGGUGGACGGUCACACUGGGACUGAGACACGGCCCAGACUCCUACGGGAGGCAGCAGUGGAGAAUAUUGCACAAUGGGCGCAAGCCUGAUGCAGCGACGCCGCGUGAGGGAUGGAGGCCUUCGGGUUGUGAACCUCUUUCGCCAGUGAAGCAGGCCUGCCUCGUUUGUGGGUGGGUUGACGGUAGCUGGAUAAGAAGCGCCGGCUAACUACGUG